GACGAACGCUGGCGGCGUGCCUAACACAUGCAAGUCGAACGAGAAACCAGCCUUUGAUUCCUUCGGGAUGAUAAGGCCGGUAGAAAGUGGCGAACGGGUGAGUAACGCGUGGGUAAUCUACCCUGUAAGUGGGGGAUAACCCUCCGAAAGGAGGGCUAAUACCGCAUAACAUCUUCCCUUCAUAAGAAGGAGAGAUUAAAGAUGGCCUCUUUAUAUGCUAUCACUUCAGGAUGAGUCCGCGUCCUAUUAGUUAGUUGGUAGGGUAAUGGCCUACCAAGACCACAAUGGGUAGCCGGUCUGAGAGGAUGUACGGCCACACUGGGACUGAGAUACGGCCCAGACUCCUACGGGAGGCAGCAGUGGGGAAUAUUGCGCAAUGGGCGAAAGCCUGACGACGCGACGCCGCGUGGGGGAAGAAGGCUUUCGGGUUGUAAACCCCUGUCACGAGUUAGGAAACGCAGAGGGGCCAAUACCCCCCCUGCCUGACAAAGGCUCGAGAGGAAGCGCCGGCUAACUCCGUGCCAGCAGCCGCGGUAAUACGGAAGGCGCAAACGUUGCUCGGUGUCACUGGGCUUGAAGCGCGCGUAGGCGGUUCGGCAAGUGCUGGGUAAAAGCCCCCGGCUCAACCGGGGAACCGCUCGGCAAACUGCCGGACUUGAGGGUCGAAAGGGGGGAGCAGAACUCUGGGUGUAGCGGUGAAAUGCGGAGAUAUCCAGGGGAAUGCCGGUGGCGAAGCGCUCUCUGGUCGAUUCCUGACGCUGCAGCGCGAAAGCUAGGGGAGCGAACGGGAUUAGAUACCCCGGUAGUCCUAGCCGUAAACGAUGGGCACUAGGUAGAGGAGCUUCCGAUGGCGUCUCUGCCGUAGCGAAAGCGUUAAGUGCCCCGCCUGGGGAGUACGGUCGCAAGGCUAAAACUCAAAGGAAUUGACGGGGGCUCACACAAGCGGUGGAGCAUGUUGCUCAAUUCGAUGCAACGCGAAGAACCUUACCAGGGCUUGAAAUGCGCGGAUUAGUCCCCCGAAAGGGGGGUGACACCCGAAAGGGUGGAACGUGCACAGGUGUUGCAUGGCUGUCGUCAGCUCGUGUCGUGAGAUGUCGGGUUAAGUCCCAUAACGAGCGGAACCCCUGCCGUUAGUUGCCAGCGGGUAAUGCCGGGCACUCUAGCGGGACUGCCGGUUACAAGCCGGAGGAAGGUGGGGACGACGUCAAGUCAUCAUGGCCCUUAUGUCCUGGGCUGCAAACGUGCUACAAUGGUCGGUACAGAAGGACGCAAUCCCGCAAGGGGGAGCAAAUCCCAAAAGCCGGCCCCAGUUCGGACUGGGGGCUGCAACUCGCCCCCAUGAAGCCGGAAUCGCUAGUAAUCGCGGAUCAGCCACGCCGCGGUGAAUACGUACCUGAGCCUUGUACACACCGCCCGUCACGCCACCAAAGCCGGGGGCACCCGAAGCCGCUGACCCAACCUCUUCACGAGGAGGGAGGCGCCCACAGUGAAACCGGCGAUGGGGACG
rnacentral:rRNA from 1 species